CAUUCACGGAGAGUUUGAUCCUGGCUCAGGACGAACGCUGGCGGCGUGCUUAACACAUGCAAGUCGAACGAUGAACCGCCUUCGGGUGGGGAUUAGUGGCGAACGGGUGAGUAACACGUGGGCAAUCUGCCCUGCACUCUGGGACAAGCCCUGGAAACGGGGUCUAAUACCGGAUACUGACCUGCCAAGGCAUCUUGGCGGGUCGAAAGCUCCGGCGGUGCAGGAUGAGCCCGCGGCCUAUCAGCUUGUUGGUGAGGUAAUGGCUCACCAAGGCGACGACGGGUAGCCGGCCUGAGAGGGCGACCGGCCACACUGGGACUGAGACACGGCCCAGACUCCUACGGGAGGCAGCAGUGGGGAAUAUUGCACAAUGGGCGAAAGCCUGAUGCAGCGACGCCGCGUGAGGGAUGACGGCCUUCGGGUUGUAAACCUCUUUCAGCAGGGAAGAAGCGAAAGUGACGGUACCUGCAGAAGAAGCGCCGGCUAACUACGUGCCAGCAGCCGCGGUAAUACGUAGGGCGCAAGCGUUGUCCGGAAUUA
rnacentral:rRNA from 1 species